rnacentral:rRNA from 1 species
GGGUAAGUGUAGCAAUACACCAAGACCGGCGGACGGGUGCGUAACGCGUAUGCAACUUACCUUAUACAGGGGGAUAGCCCGUGGAAACGCGGAUUAAUAUUCCAUAGUUCAAUGAUGUCGCAUGGCAUUAUUGGUAAAGCUGAGGCGGUAUAAGAUAGGCAUGCGUCUGAUUAGCUAGUUGGUAGGGUAAUGGCCUACCAAGGCGACGAUCAGUAGGGGUUCUGAGAGGAUAAUCCCCCACACUGGUACUGAGACACGGACCAGACUCCUACGGGAGGCAGCAGUGAGGAAUAUUGGUCAAUGGGCGAGAGCCUGAACCAGCCAUUCCGCGUGAAGGAAGAAGGCCUUAUGGGUUGUAAACUUCUUUUCUGUAAGAAGAACGGCCCCGACGUGUCGGGGUGUGACGGUAUUAUAGGAAUAAGCAUCGGCUAACUCCGUGCCAGCAGCCGCGGUAAUACGGAGGAUGCAAGCGUUAUCCGGAUUUAUUGGGUUUAAAGGGUGCGCAGGUGGUUUUAUAAGUCAGUGGUGAAAGUCUGGCGCUUAACGUUAGGAUUGCCAUUGAUACUGUAGGACUUGAGUAUGGAUGAGGUAGGCGGAAUGUGUAAUGGUAGCGGUGAAAU